UUGCUUUGGCAGCACAUAUAUUAAACCUUAACUGAUACAGAGAAGAUUAACAUGGCCCCGUGGUGGGAUGGCACACAGCUUGAAAAAGAAUUACAUAUUUUA